GAAGUCGGAAUUGCUAGUAAUCGCGGAUCAGCAUGCCGCGGUGAAUACGUUCCCGGGCCUUGUACACACCGCCCGUCACACCAUGGGAGCCGGUAAUACCCGAAGUCAGUAGUCCAACCUCGUGAGGACGCUGCCGAAGGUAGGAUUGGCGACUGGGGUGAAGUCGUAACAAGGUACC
rnacentral:rRNA from 1 species